UAUAUACUUGUUGUAUCUUUGUACUGCUGUUUUUACAAAUUGCCGUAUCCUAUGUGCUUGUUUCCAUAUCGUCGUAUCUGUGUUGUUAUAUGGUGCUUCAUAGCAAAAACUUAUACUUACUAAAGAAAGUGUUCCUUUUCUUGGUCCCAUUGCUCCAUAAGCAUGAUCACGUUUCUACUAAUUGAUUAUACAUAUGAUCUUUCUUUUGAUUAUUUUGUGAUACUUCUGAUUGACACUAUGAGGUGCUUCCUUGUCAUGCAGAUUCAUCCUUUACUUAAAUACUGAUGAUGAUAUGGUUGUAAAUUAGUCUGGUAUGUGCCAAUAGUUGUCUUCCCCAGAAGAUUUUUUUUGUCAGAAUAGCUUACCUAAAGAGUUGGUUUGCCUAGAUGCAUCAUUUACUUAUACACUGAUGAUAUUGCUAUAGCUAAACAAAUGGGUGAAAAACCACAUCAACCCAGCUAUAAGAAUGCAAUCUUAUGAUUCAUGCUCACCUAUGGUUGGUUGCUAUAUUGUACAUUCUUUUGACGAAACUAUAUUGUACAUUUAAUAACCUGACUUCUUCCAUGAGAUAGCACUACUUAGAGGUUUAACUGAGUGAGAUUGGGUUUAGGGACAAGAAGAGGAACCAUGGGCGGGUGCUCUUGCGACUCUCGGCUGGUUCCAAGAUUGUGCUUGAUCGAUUUAUCUGUCUGUGCAGGGAUGGCAAGGCAGCUUGAAGGUGGUCACGGCCAUCUCGCAGAGAUGGUGCAAGCUGUCAAGAAUCACGGUGCUGGGGCACUGCACUUCACCGCCGGGUGCAAGAUGGUGGAAGUGUGCGAGUACCUGUUGAGGAUGUCCAGGUGGACGUGGAUGUCGUUGACCAAGCAGGUGUGUCUCUGCAAAUUAAUGUUGGUGUUUUUUGCUCUUUUCAGAUUUUAAGCUUGGUGUAUAAACAUACAUGUCAUUCACUGUAUGUAACUUUCAGUGCAAGAUUAAAAUAGGGGAUACAUCAUUAUGGAAGGUAUAUGAUUGAAUAGCAAAUUGGAUGGAUUUACUGUCAUAUCAUUUAUUUGUGACUGCAUGAUCUGAAUUGCGCAUCUCUGAAAAUAUGUUAGGCUCUUGCCCUUGGAAGAUUAGACUGCCCACUAUACACAUGCUUCAACUGAAAAACUGAUUUUUUUAGAACAGCAGCCAAUAGUAUCAGCAGAACCACCCAUCCAUGGCACAACAGAACAGUAGCACAAGCAGCAGCACAACACCAGUAGCUCAAGCGGGAGCAGCUAGCACACGCACGAGAGUGGAAGAGGAGCUCAUCGAGGCGGCUUCCGGUGAUGAGGCAGAUCCAGGUCGGCGGCCGGCCGGCUUUUGAGAGGAGGGAGAGGCGGGUCGUUGUCGAGGAGCGCGGCAUCGAGAGGAAGAGAGAGUGCAUCGGCGUCCUGCCUGAAUGAUCGUGCUUACCACCAAAUUUUCAAUGACCUUCAUUAGUCAAUUUCUUCACAGAAUGGCGUACUAUACGUUUUCUUGUGUUUAAUCGGCAUGCUCGCAUUAGUGGACUCACUAUAAACACGUACGCGGGCAUGGCGUAUGGGGUGGCGGCCAGGACUUUGGCCAUCGGCACGAACUCUGAUGUUUUGUGGUCUGAUUUCAGCUUGAUUUUGUUUUGUUUCACUUGCUAUCUGCAGCCUCUUAGACUCUAGGUAGAAAGUGUUUAAAAGAGUUGACUUGUUAGUUUCCUAAAAAUUUCUUCCAUGAAAUAAUAUGAUUACGAUCUUUAGGGUUGUUUUGCUGUCCCAAAGGCACACGGGAGUCUGCGGGAAAAAAACUGGCGACGUUUUCUCUUGGAUAUUCAGAAAAUGGAGACACUCGGCGAUCUGGCUCUGCUGCAGGUAUGCCUUUUGUGCCCCUCUAUUUACUUACUAUGAGCAUGGUUUAGUUUAGAGAGAACUACAGUGCUUUGAGGCUACUGUAUGUGUUGUGUUCCCUAUUGUUCAUGGAAGUUGUUUUUUUGGGCAUUAUUCUACAAGGACCGUGUGUAACUACUUAGAAGCAUGAAAUAGCUAUGUAGCCAUCUGCCCAGCCAAGUACAAGGUAAAGUUCCUUCCUGUAAUAGUAGCCUUACCUAUUAAGGUAAUGGCUUUCAUUCUUCGGGAUAUAGGUGUUUCAUGGUAUGGUACAAAGUACUGAUUGUGCAGGAUGGUUGCAACAUCUGAGCAAAUAGUUGGUUUGAACAUUUUGUAGUUGUGAUUUGCACUAGGAGUUGCUGGCCUUUUUCGUAUCAGCUUCGUCGUCGCCAUACUUUUUUGGUAGAUAUUUAAACAUAGCUCAGUACGUAUCACGCUCGCAAAGGGAGAGACAAAGCAUAGUUAGAGUCGCACAAGCUACUUGCUUCUUUCCUGAACAAUUAGAUUCUGAUAUUAAUGCAAUGCCGAUUCCUACUUUCAGGUUUAUUAGUUGGUUUUUUAUAUUGGCUUUAGGACGGCCAGUGUAUUUUGGUUAAUAUAUAAUGUGCUGCCAUUUGUUAACUUAAAUAUAUUUUCAUGCAUUUUCUUUCGAAAUCUUGCAAAACCAUAACAAAAAUUUCAGGAGUUAUGAACAAUUAGAAAUACAUUAUACUGAAGGUUGAGUAAAAUAUGUCUUUUGGAUUGAGCAAAUAUAUAGCUGCAGAAAUUUUGCAAAUCAACACAUAACAAGAAUCUAAGGCUCUCUAGACUCCUUUUCCUUGCUAAAUAUGCACGCUUUCCAUGGAUUUUUUUUCAAUAUAUUUAGCUUACCUAAAGAGUUGGUUUGCCCAGAUGCAUCAUUUACUUAUACACUGAUGAUAUUGCUGUAGCUAAACAAAUGGGUGAAAAACCACAUCAACCCAGCUAUAAGAAUGCAAUCUUAUGAUUCAUGCUCACCUAUGGUUGGUUGCUAUAUUGUACAUUCUUUUGACGAUACUAUAUUGUACAUUUAAUAACCUCACUUCUUCCAUGAGAGAGCACUACUUAGAGGUUUAACUGAGUGAGAUUGGGUUUAGGGACAAGAAGAGGAACCAUGGGCGGGUGCUCUUGCGACUCUUGGCUGGUUCCAAGAUUGUGCUUGAUCGGUUUAUCUGUCUGUGCAGGGAUGGCAAGGCAGCUUGAAGGUGGUCAC
rnacentral:lncRNA from 1 species